rnacentral:rRNA from 1 species
GACGAAGGAUGCAAGCGUUAUCCGGAUUCAUUGGGUUUAAAGGGAGCGUAGGUGGCCUUAUAAGUCAGUGGUGAAAUCUCUCGGCUUAACCGAGAAAUUGCCAUUGAUACUGUAGGGCUUGAGUAUAGUUGCCGUUGGCGGAAUAUGACAUGUAGUGGUGAAAUACAUAGAGAUGUCAUAGAACACCGAUUGCGAAGGCAGCUAACGAAACUAUAACUGACACUGAGGCUCGAAAGUUCGGGGAUCAAACAGG